CCCAUCACCCGCUCAGGCUAAGGGCUGCCUGCUGCUCUCCGCUGCUCUCAUUCUCAAGACGCGCCCCAGAUGCUCAACCUCAGCUUCCCCACCGCAAUCCAUCCUCUUCCUGCUCAACAUCUGGGGAGGCGCCAGACACAGCUGGGCGGAGGAGGAGGAGAGAGGAGGAUGGACAGCCUUAAUCCCCAUCUCCAGGAGGAAACCCUCCCCGCGUCCUCCCCCUCAACCCCCCGGCGCUUACCGGCUCGGAGCCCUCCCCGGGCUCUGCCCGCGGGCGCAGAGGGACCGCCCGCCACAGCCGGGGCGCGGCUCGGAGCCCGCCCUGCGCGGCGGCCGCGGGUUCGAGCCCGGCCCCCGACGGCUCGGCGGCAUGGGCGGUGCGGAGCGCCUUGAGAGUGGUCAGAAGACAGCGUUUUCCAAUGGGAAAUAAGAGAGGAAGGGACACGGAUUAAGACCCCACGACCUUGCCAAGCCAUUUUUAGAACCGUAAGAUGUAUUCUGCUAUCACUUUACCACUGAGCUUCGAGAAAAACAUCUACAGAGCAAGCAGAAUGCCUCCUGGGAAGUGACUGACAUGGGCAUGCUGGUGACAGGAUGCCAUGAGGGAUCUCCCACCUGAGUCCAAUCACAGGAGCUCCCAACACCCUGCCAGCCCCUGUCCUAGGCACAGGAGGAGACACAACCACGUCCUGCCCCCAAUUCCCAGUGUACCACCUGGGUAUAUCUCUGAGAACAUCACGCAUUCCCCGAAGCCCAGCAGCACUGUUUAGAUACGUCCCUGCCUUUGACGCAAGAGAACGGCUGCUGGACCUUGAUUGCAAACAGAGCCCCCGUGACCUGGGAGCCCCUGAGCUCCCAGAUAGGACAGCUCGGCUGCUCGCUGCUGUUUGGGAAGUGCUCAGCAGCACAAAGCUGAGCAACUCCACGCUUAAACGAUUUCCCUCCCCACUGAGCUGUGUUUAUGUGUGCUACCAUGUUCUGCCAUAGAGGUGCAGGGAGCACCACCAAUGCCAAAGCACAAGGGGACUCAUUGCACUCAUUCCUGUUUCUUUCCACAAUGCUUACAAAGACUUUUCCUCA
rnacentral:lncRNA from 1 species